UACGUAGGGGGCAAGCGUUGUCCGAAGUCAUUGGGCGUAAAGAGCGUGUAGGCGGCCCGGUAAGUCCGCUGUGAAAGUCUAGGGCUCAACCCUGGAAUGCCGGUGGAAACUGUCGGGCUAGAGUCCGGAAGAGGCGAGUGGAAUUCCUGGUGUAGCGGUGAAAUGCGCAGAUAUCAGGAGGAACACCCGUGGCGAAGGCGGCUCUCUGGGACGGUACUGACGCUGAGACGCGAAAGCGUGGGGAGCGAACAGG
rnacentral:rRNA from 1 species